rnacentral:lncRNA from 1 species
GAUUCACACAUCUGGAAAAACAUAGUAGAAGGGAUAAAUAUUUGCAACAAAGGCUUACACUGGACAAUAGGUGAUGGUAAAUCCAUAAACAUCUGGGAUGAAAAAUGGAUAAAUCGCGCAAAACAUUUUAGAAGCCUCAUACAGAGGCCUCUAAUGAGGAAUGAACCAAACCUAGCACUCUCCACUAUCUUGGCUAAUAGUACUAUAAAUUUGAACACCCUAUCCUUCGACCUGCCUAUUAGCAUAAAGUAAAAUUCACAGCACCUAUAUUAAGCAAGUGCUACCAUCUAGGGACAAAUCAAACUGGAACACCUUAAAUCAUAACUCCUUUUCUACCAAAGCGGCUUAUGAGCUCAUCUCUUCUCCUCACGAGAAUCAGAUAAACAAUAUAGACUUCGGAUAGAUAUGGAAAGUCAUUGUGCUCAAUAAGAUUAAAGCUUUCCUAUGGCUAGUAGUUCAUAAUAGGCUCCCUACCACUCUCAUGCUCUUUAGAAGACACAUUAGCGAUACCUAUGUGUGUAGUAUUUGCUGCAACGAGGGGAUUAACUUUAACCAUAACUUUCAGCAUUUACAGAAUAAUGCUUAUAAUAUCUCCACGUAGCUGAAAAAAUAGAUUAACUCCAAAAGCAUGUUCAAUGAUCUUAUCAGCUGGAAUGAAACCCUUCCCUCUAUCCUCUGGGACCUCUGGUUAGCUAGAAACGACAUCCUCUUUAACAAGCAUAAAGCUCCUACUUUAGCUAGUCACAUCAUUAGCAAAGUAGUAGAGUUUAAGUACGUGACAAAAACUCUUCACACAAAGCCUGCUAAAUCCAUCUUAUAUAUUAAAUGAUUGAUUCUAACUAUCUAAAACUUAACAUAGACGGGUCUUGCAUGGGAAACCCAGGAAGGGGUGGUAUUGGGGAGUCUUCAAAGAUAAUAACAGUAACUGGAUUCUAGGUUUUAGUAUGGCCAUCCCGCAUGCUACAAACAUAUAUAUGGAAGCCCUAGCCUUGCUACAUGGAUUAAAAUUGGCUAAAGAGAAAGGACUACACCCUCUGGUUAUUGAAUCUGACUGCAAAGACUUAGUUAAAAUGAUGACUAACAGUGAUUGCUACUAUCAAAAUAUGGUUGAUGAUUGCAGAGGGUGUCACAUCUCCUUUUUCUUGAGGGGAUAGGGAGUUUUUUCCAAUUAAAGUGACAUUAUUCGAAAUGGGAUUAUUUAUUUAAUUCAGAGUCGUUAUUUGAGAUAAUUAUAUGGUGUCCCAAGUCACCGGUUAUUUUAAAUCCCAAAUCGAGAAAAUUUGACUCCGUUUAAAAGUUAGCGAAACCAGAAAGACUAAGUAAGGAUUCUGUUAACCCGGGAGAAGGUGUUAGGCAUUCUCGGGUUCUGUGGUUUUAGCACGGUCGCUUAGCAAUUUAUACUUGGCCUAUUUUGUCUAAUCACUCAUUUUAGUACCUAUGUUUAUUUUUACCUUUUACCGCUAUUAAUCACUUGAUAAUUCAUAUUUAAAGAAUUAACUUAAGAUGAGUUACGCGUACGUAUACUCAAUUCCUAACACUUAGUUUAUUUUUAAAAAAAGAUUUGGUCAAAGUUGCGCGAACACAUACUUUGAAUUUAUUUGAAAGAAACGUAAUUAUGAUAACAAUUUAAGAAUGGCGCCUAAAGCAUUUCUACGAAUAAAUGAUUAAGGCAUUUUAAUUACUAAAACGUUUGAUCAUGGUCACGCGAACGUAUACCUUGGUUUAUCUUUGGCAUCACAACUAUGUCACGCAUGCAUAUAUAUAAUUGUAAUAGUUAAUCUAAUUUAAAUUGGACCUAAAGUUAUGAUCAUGUCUCUAUGCUAAAUUCCCUAUGUAAUGUAACUAGGUGUAAAAGUUCAAUACUAUGUGAGAUAUUUAUUUGAAUCAAAUGAUGCUAACAAAUCAUACGAUAACACUAAUUCCUUAUUGGCCUAUUAGUGUCGAAAUGAACAUGGACUUGAUGGAAGAGUUCAAACCCCAUUUGAUCUUGUGAGAAGUACUAGUAGGUCCAAUUGACCCGACACUAUUAAACUACUAGAGUAUUGAGCUCCUAGUCUUGCAAUUUCAGGCCCAUAAACAGGCCCAAAUUCAAAUAUUCAUGGAUUCAGAUUGAUAGCUAAAUAAUUUUCAGUCUACACAAAGGAUUAGUCUUAAAAACCUCAUCAUAUUUACAACUAGUUUGAAGAUUGUGCAAAAAAUACUUUUAAGAACUGAGCCGCUUCAUUACUAGGCCCAAAAAUAAUAUAAAUACUCUUUCCAAAAAAAAUAGGGUCUUUUCAUUACUGGACCUAAAAACAAAACAUCACGCCCUAGUGACUUUAAACAAAAGAGUGAAUAUGCAGAUUAAAAAAAAUGCGGGAGAAAAGACAUUAUUACAAACUUGAUUUUAAAUAAAUUACUAUGUAACUUGGCAUUCAAAAUGCUCAAAUUACUACUCUUGCAUUCUGAUUUAAACAAUUGUGGUUCUCCUGCCUACCUCGACUUCAAACAACAAACAUAUAUUCUAGAAGAUAACAAUAUUGAGCCAUAUCCUCGAAACUAUUUGAAUGUUGUUGUUCCCUUUACCAACAUGUUAAUUAAUUAGACAAACUUUAAAUACAACCAUGUCAUAAUAGUAAGUAUAGUUCAUUAUGGACUUUAUCAGAUUCAAACUCAGAAUCCAGUAAACAACCUAAAACAGCAAACAAAAUAAACAGAAGGGAGUUUAACAAUUAAACAUACUGGAGUUCAUAAAAUUAAUGACAAAAAUGGUUCGAAAAAAUUAAAUCUCCAUUUAAACAUCCAAGUUAAAGAUUACAGAAGAACAAGACAUACCUAAUCAGCAAAAAAUCUUUGACAAAAGAAAAUAAGUGUUUGGAUUUGAGAAGAAUGAAUAGUAGGAAACCAAACAGCAGCAGAAAACUAGCAGUAAAUGGAGCCAAGAAAACUCAACUUCAGAUCCCAGAAAAGAUAAAAGAAACAUGCUUCUUUUUUUUUUGUUUUCUCUAGAACUCUAAGGCUGGAAUUCCAGAAAAAAGUUUUCUAAAAAUGAAGAUGCAAGGAGUGAGUCUCUGAGAAUGCAGUCUCAAAAUUAGUCUUAAGAAUCUGAAAUUCAG